rnacentral:snRNA from 1 species
GUGCUCACUUCAGCAGCGCAGCUACUAAAACUGGAACAUACAGAGAAGAGGAGCGUGGUCCCUGCAUAAGGAUGACACGGAAAUUAAUGAGGCAUUCCAUAUUUUU